AUUCUUACCUGGCAGGGGAGAUACCAUGAUCACAAAGGUGGUUUUCCUAGGGCGAGGCUUAUCCAUUGCACUUCGGAUGUGCUGACCCCUGCGAUUUCCCCAAACGUGGGAAACUCGACUGCAUAAUUUGUGGUAGUGGGGGACUGCGUUCGCGCUCUCCCCUG
rnacentral:snRNA from 1 species